ACGAUGAGCAAUCUGCCCCUGACUCUGGGAUAAGCGCUGGAAACGGCGUCUAAUACCGGAUACGAGCUGCGAAGGCAUCUUCAGCAGCUGGAAAGAAUUUCGGUCAGGGAUGAGCUCGCGGCCUAUCAGCUUGUUGGUGAGGUAACGGCUCACCAAGGCGUCGACGGGUAGCCGGCCUGAGAGGGUGACCGGCCACACUGGGACUGAGACACGGCCCAGACUCCUACGGGAGGCAGCAGUGGGGAAUAUUGCACAAUGGGCGCAAGCCUGAUGCAGCAACGCCGCGUGAGGGACGACGGCCUUCGGGUUGUAAACCUCUUUUAGCAGGGAAGAAGCGAAAGUGACGGUACCUGCAGAAAAAGCGCCGGCUAACUACGUGCCAGCAGCCGCGGUAAUACGUAGGGCGCAAGCGUUAUCCGGAAUUAUUGGGCGUAAAGAGCUCGUAGGCGGUUUGUCGCGUCUGCUGUGAAAACCCGAGGCUCAACCUCGGGCCUGCAGUGGGUACGGGCAGACUAGAGUGCGGUAGGGGAGAUUGGAAUUCCUGGUGUAGCGGUGGAAUGCGCAGAUAUCAGGAGGAACACCGAUGGCGAAGGCAGAUCUCUGGGCCGUAACUGACGCUGAGGAGCGAAAGGGUGGGGAGCAAACAGGCUUAGAUACCCUGGUAGUCCACCCCGUAAACGUUGGGAACUAGUUGUGGGGUCCAUUCCACGGAUUCCGUGACGCAGCUAACGCAUUAAGUUCCCCGCCUGGGGAGUACGGCCGCAAGGCUAAAAACUCAAA
rnacentral:rRNA from 1 species